rnacentral:rRNA from 1 species
UGAGGAAUAUUGGACAAUGGGCGCAAGCCUGAUCCAGCCAUGCCGCGUGCAGGAAGAAGCAUCUAUGGUGUGUAAACUGCAUUUGUACGGGAAGAAACACCCCUUCGUGAAGGAGCUUGACGGUACCGUAAGAAUAAGAAUCGGCUAACUCCGUGCCAGCAGCCGCGGUAAUACGGAGGAACCAAGCGUUAUCCGGAAUCAUUGGGUUUAAAGGGUCCGUAGGCGGUUUAGUAAGUCAGUGGUGAAAGCCCAUCGCUCAACGAUGGGACGGCCAUUGAUACUGCUAGACUUGAAAUAGUAGGAGGUAACUGGAAUAUGUAGUGUAGCGAUGAAAUGCUUGGAUAUUACAUGGAAUACCAAUUGCGAAGACAGGGUACUACUAAUGGAUUGACGCUGAUGGACGAAAGCGUGGGGAGCGAACA